GAGAAGGCUGUGUUGAGAGCAAGAGCUGCAAGUCGUAAUUGAUCUCAUUCCAAUCACAAUUUGUUAAUUUAUUGAUCUAGUUAGCUGCUUGAAUAUGCAUGCCAUCAUUGUGUGGCAAUAGCAUCCACUCGAGGAUAACAGGGUGAGCAACCACUUCACUGAGCAUUUGUGAUUUCACAAUGAGUGUAAUGCAUGUACAACCUCGGAUAUCAAAGGUGCAAGGCAAAA
rnacentral:misc_RNA from 1 species